CAGUAGCCGCGGGAACACGGAGGAUCCAAGCGUUAUCCGGAUUUAUUGGGUUUAAAGGGUGCGUAGGUGGCCUGUUAAGUCAGGGGUGAAAGACGGUAGCUCAACUAUCGCAGUGCCCUUGAUACUGAUGGGCUUGAAUGAACUAGAGGUAGGCGGAAUGUGACAAGUAGCGGUGAAAUGCAUAGAUAUGUCACAGAACACCAAUUGCGAAGGCAGCUUACUAUGGUUUUAUUGACACUGAGGCACGAAAGCGUGGGGAUCAAACAGGAUUAGAUACCCCCGUAGUCCCUGUCUCUUAUAC
rnacentral:rRNA from 1 species